CCUACGGGAGGCAGCAGUGAGGAAUAUUGGUCAAUGGGCGAGAUCCUGAACCAGCCAAGCCGCGUGAGGGAAGACGGCCCUAUGGGUUGUAAACCUCUUUUGUCGGAGCACAAAACCCGGGACGUGUCCCGGACUGCGUGUAUCCGAAGAAAAAGCAUCGGCUAACUCCGUGCCAGCAGCCGCGGUAAUACGGAGGAUGCGAGCGUUAUCCGGAUUUAUUGGGUUUAAAGGGUGGGUAGGCGGUUCGUUAAGUCAGCGGUAAAAUUGCGGGGCUAAACCCCGUCGAGCCGUUGAAACUGGCAGACUUGAGUGGGGGAGCAGUACGCGGAAUGCGCGGUGUAGCGGUGAAAUGCAUAGAGAUCGCGCAGAACACCGAUUGCGAAGGCAGCGUACCGGACCCAGACUGACGCUGAGGCACGAAAGCGUGGGGAGCGAACAGGAUUAGAUACCCGGGUAGUC
rnacentral:rRNA from 1 species